AUACAUAGCUGACUUGUUCUUCUGUUUUAUCAACUUCAUUCUCGGUGAGCAGCAACGUAUCCAGCAGAAUGGCCGAUGAUGCUUGGAUGGAGCUUCUGAAAGAGAUCCUGCUGGAGCGCUGCCGAAGGGCCUUGAUAGGCUUUGUGGUCCGAUAGUUGCAAGUGAUGUACCUGCUGAAAGCCUCCCUAAAUGUUUUGUUGAAGAGUGUAUACACAAGAGGGUUCACUCCUGAGGAUACAUACCCUAUCCAAACAAAUAUCUCCAAAAGCUUUUGUAAAACCUCCUCCUUGCAGGAGUUGCACAGAACCGAGCUGAUGUUUGUUAUGAAGAACGGGCACCACAUCAGCAAGAAAAGAAAAAACACAAUCCCCAGAACUUUUGACGCCCUUUGUUCAUUCGUUAUCGUUUGCAUGGACUUCCUCCCAAUCGUGGAUGCCCUGCAGAUAGGCAUGUCACUGGACACAGUCUGGUCCUUUCUGGAGCCAUUUAGCAUGGCCACCUUUUCUGGUGAGGAGGCAGGGGUUGUGUCACGCUGAAAGACUGUGGACACUGUUGCCCAGGUGAAGCGCUGAGGCGGCUUGUUGAUCAAAUAGGCCUUUUUGCGCAGCACUUGGAUUGUCAGUAAAUAAGUGACGAUCAUGAUGGCGAGGGGAAUAAAGAAGGAAGCCACUGAUCCGAACAGAAUGAAGUCAUGAAAGCGAUCAGGCGUCAGGAGACACGUGAUGUUUUUAGAGCUGCCAUUUCCAUCCUCAAUGCCUCUGAUAGGGACCGGAAUUGCAAUGCCUGUAGGAGGAAAAGCAAGUGCUUCAGCAGAGGGUAAUGGCUUGCAAUCGCUUCACUGGGCCUGAAGCCUCGGGGUUUCUAAAGAAAGGUAAUUCCUGAGCUCUGGAGCAGGCACGGGAACACAACGUGAAGUGUGGAAAGCAUCACGUGGGUAAUUGGGCAAAUGGUGCUUUGUGAGACUUGGCAGGCUGAGCUUUAACAGAGUGCCCUUUCUAAGGAGAUUGGGCCUAACUCGUAGUGAUUGAGGAAGCAGUAUCAUGUUGCCAACUUUUCAAGUGCAAAAUACAUGAAUUGCUUUGACUCUGGUUAUUAGAGUUAGUAUGGCUUUUCCUCCAGUGAAAUAUGUUUCCCUAAUGCCAUCUCCCCCUUUUUUUUUCCUCUUUCCCAGGGUAACCUUUGCACUUUUUGAAGGACAGUUUUGUAAAUACAUAAAUCUUGUCUUUCCCUCUUCCAUUAACCACAUCAAGUGACUGGACACAGACAGCUGAUUUUUUUCACUCUGCUCAACUCUUUCAUGUAUACAAGUAGCUAAAUAGUUGCCAGAAUUAUGCAGUGUGUGCUUGAGAUGGAUUUGUUGUUUAAAGUCUCCUGCAUAUUUAGGAGUGUUUAAAUGAGGCUGGCUAGCUCUGUAAUUCACCACUCGUUUUAAAAAAAUGUUAACAGUCUUGUCUUUUAAAUGAAUUUUUUAUAACCACUAAAUUACAGUCAGCACUUCAUUUGCCAGCAGUCUGACAUUACAACAAAAACAACAGGUUCCUUGCUGUCUGGUGAAGGUGAUUUGUGCAGUUUUCUGAUACCACUUAAUGAGAUAUAGGGAUUUACUGUAUUCCUCUGCUACUCUGCUUGCUGAAGUUGGUUUAAAGCAGCAAGAGCGAAAUGGGUUACCCUUCAGCAACUUGAUCCCUUUCUUAAUUAGAAGCACACCUUCAGAUACAACAAGCAUUUAAAAUGAAGAUUGAACCAAAUUAACCUUUGAUUUGGAGAACCUGGCUCAGCUGCAGAGUAGUUUUAUGUUAGAUAAAAAGAAAUUGAAAAGUACAGUGCUGUUUAAUGACAAUAAAUCACACAUUAAAAGGUCA